rnacentral:pre_miRNA from 1 species
UAUUAAACUUUCAUACAUAUGAAUUGUUAAAAAUUAGUGUGGUUGAUGGAUAAUUAGACAGUGACAAGUGGUGUGUCAUAUGUACCUUAUGUUGACAUACAAGGACCAAUUUUUAACACAAGAAAUGGAUGAAAUUUUUAACA